UACGGGGGGGGCAAGCGUUGUUCGGAAUUACUGGGCGUAAAGGGUUUGUAGGUGGCUCGCUAAGUCAGACGUGAAAUCCCUCAGCUUAACUGGGGAACUGCGUCUGAGACUGGCAAGCUUGAGUGCAGGAGAGGAACGCGGAAUUCCAGGUGUAGCGGUGAAAUGCGUAGAUAUCUGGAGGAAUACCGGUGGCGAAGGCGGCAUCCUGGACCGGCAUUGACGCUGAGGAGCGAAAGCCAGGGGAGCAAACGGG
rnacentral:rRNA from 1 species